ACAAGCGGAGGAGCAUGUGGUUUAAUUCGAUGAUACGCGAGGAACCUUACCUGGGCUCGAACGUAAGAUGACUGUAGGUGAAAGCUUACAUCUCUUCGGAGCAUUUUACGAGGUGCUGCAUGGUUGUCGUCAGCUCGUGCCGUGAGGUGUCGGGUAAGUCCCAUAACGAGCGCAACCCUACCUUUAGUUGCCAUCAGGUAAUGCUGGGGACUCUAAAGGAACUGCCUACGCAAGUAGUGAGGAAGGCGGGGAUGACGUCAAAUCAGCACGGCCCUUACGUCCAGGGCUACACACGUGCUACAAUGGCCGAUACAGAGGGCAGCUACCUGGUGACAGGAUGCAAAUCUCCAAAGUCGGUCUCAGUUCGGAUCGGAGUCUGCAACUCGACUCCAUGAAGUUGGAAUCGCUAGUAAUCGUGGAUCAGCAUGCCACGGUGAAUACGUUCCCGGGCCUU
rnacentral:rRNA from 1 species